rnacentral:rRNA from 1 species
UACGUAGGGUGCGAGCGUUAAUCGGAAUUACUGGGCGUAAAGCGUGCGCAGGCGGUCUGUUAAGACCGAUGUGAAAUCCCCGGGCUUAACCUGGGAACUGCAUUGGUGACUGGCAGGCUUUUGAGUGUGGCAGAGGGAGGUAGAAUUCCACGUGUAGCAGUGAAAUGCGAGAGAUGUGGAGGAAUACCGAUGGCGAAGGCCAGCCUCGUGGGCCAACACUGACGCUCAUGCACGAAAGCGUGGG